rnacentral:lncRNA from 1 species
GCUCUCUAGGUUAUUCAAGGACACGGAAAAGCCAACACCAUGGUAGCAUUAAUGAAAGUUUACCAAGAGGAAGAUGAAGCCUACCAGGAAUUAGUUACCGUGGCAACCACGUUCUUCCAGUACUUAUUGCGGCCAUUUAGGGCUAUGCGAGAAGUUGCAACUUUAUAAGUCCUUGGAUGAGGAUGACCUAGGUCCUAGAAGGGUAGUUGCCCUGGAGAAAGAAGCUGAAGAAUGGACCAGACGGGCUGGAGAAGCUGUCGUCUCUAUUCAAGAUAUCACAGUGAAUUAUUUUAAGGAGACAGUAAAAGCAUUAGCAGGAGUUUCUGAUAUAUUGCACAGAAUCAACAAGAUAUAAAGCAGAAUGAUGAUCCUGGUUUUUUGGUCAAACUAUCCAUAUGAGCCUGUCUGUCUAGCUAGUCAUAGAAACAAUAUGGAAGCAAGUGUGCCAAAAUAUAAGAAGCAGUUGCCUCAACUAGGAAUGCAAAAAGAAAUGGAACAGGAUGUGAAGAGACUUGGCCAGGCUGCCUGGGCCACAGCAAUUCCCAGGUUGGAAAAACUUAAGCUAAUGCUAGCUCAAGAGACUCUGCAACUCAUGAGAGCGAAAGAAUUGUAUUUAAAUUGCAAAAGAGCUGAAAUUCAGGGAAAGAUGGAAGAUCUUCCAGAACAAGAAAAAAAUAUAAAUGUUGUAGAUGAAUUAGAAAUACAAUUUUAUGAAAUUCAGUUAGAACUAUAUGAAGUUAAAUUUGAGAUAUUAAAAAACAAAGAAAUACUGCUUACUACACAGUUGGACUCUCUUGAAAGACUUAUAAAAGAAAAACAGGAUGAAGUUGUCUAUUACGAUCCAUGUGAAAGUCCAGAGGAACUUAGUCAUUGACUGUGGUGGGGCUGCAGGACGAUAAGAAUUCGGAAGUGAAAGAACUCAGAAGGCAGUGCCAGCAGCUGGAGUCUAUUAAACGGGGCAGGAUCUGUGUCAAAAGAGCUUCUCUCCAGAGUAGAAAGGAUCAGUGCAAAGAAAAUCAUUGGCUCAGAUUGCAACAGGCUGAAGAAAGCAUAAGAUAUUCUCGUCAGCAUCACAGUAUUCAGAUG